AACGAACGCUGGCGGCAGGCUUAACACAUGCAAGUCGAACGCAUCCUUCGGGAUGAGUGGCAGACGGGUGAGUAACGCGUGGGAACGUGCCCUUUAGUUUGGAAUAACCCAGGGAAACUUGGGCUAAUACCGGAUACGCCCGAAAGGGGAAGAUUUAUCGCUGAAGGAGCGGCCCGCGUCUGAUUAGCUAGUUGGUGAGGUAAUGGCUCACCAAGGCGACGAUCAGUAGCUGGUCUGAGAGGAUGAUCAGCCACACUGGGACUGAGACACGGCCCAGACUCCUACGGGAGGCAGCAGUGGGGAAUAUUGGACAAUGGGCGCAAGCCUGAUCCAGCCAUGCCGCGUGAGUGAUGAAGGCCUUAGGGUUGUAAAGCUCUUUCGGCGGGGACGAUAAUGACGGUACCCGCAGAAGAAGCCCCGGCUAACUUCGUGCCAGCCGCCGCCGU
rnacentral:rRNA from 1 species